rnacentral:rRNA from 1 species
GAUUAAGCCAUGCAUGUGUAAGUAUAAAUAGUCUACUUUGAAACUGCGAAUGGCUCAUUAUAUCAGUUAUAGUUUAUUUGAUGAAAUGUACUACUUGGAUAACCGGUAGUAAUUCUAGAGCUAAUACAUGAUCAAUUCCUCGACUUUGAAGAGGUGUAUUUAUUAGAAUGAAAACCAAUAGACUCUGUCUGUUUGUGAGUAAUAAUAACUUGUCAUAUCGCAUGCAUAGGUAGCGAUGUGUCUUUUAAGUUUCUGCCCUAUCAGCUUUCGAUGGUAGUGUAUUGGACUACCAUG